UUCGCAAUGCCCGAAAGGGUGACGAUGCGACGCCGCGUGAGCGAAGAAGGCCCUAGGGUUGUAAAGCUCUGUCGAGGGUUAUGAAAUAUAGAUGGGUUAAUACCCCAUUUAUUUGACAAAAGCCCAAAAGGAAGCCACGGCUAACUCUGUGCCAGCAGCCGCGGUAAUACAGAGGUGGCGAGCGUUGUUCGGUAUUAUUGGGCGUAAAGAGCACGUAGGUGGUUUUGUAAGUCAGGUGUGAAAGCCUUCUGUUCAAAGGAAGAACGGCAUCUGAAACUGCAGAUCUUGAGUGUAGGAGGGGAGAGUGGAACUUCUGGUGGAGCGGUGAAAUGCGUAGAUAUCAGAAGGAACGUCGGCGGCGAAAGCGACUCUCUGGCCUAUUACUGACACUGAGGUGCGAAAGUUAGGGGAGCAAACGGGAUUAGAUACCCCGGUAGUCCUAACUGUAAACGAUGGGCACUAAGUAGAGGGGUUUU
rnacentral:rRNA from 2 species